UUACAUGGGAGAAACCCGACGGUUAGGAGAGGCCCUGACCAGCCAGCCCGCCUGCUGGCUCUGCUACUGGUUAUGAGGCUUUUAGCUGUGCAACCUCAGCCCUUUCAAACGUAUUCGAAACUGUGUUUAUUAUUGGGCAUUGGCUUUCUAUGUACCAGUCAGUGUCCAACUGUCCAAGUGUAGAUUGGAUUCUGGUUGUGGCUGGUUAUGCAAGUUGCAAGUAAAAAUUAUACUAAGAAAGCUUUGGAGCCCAACUGAAAAUGGAAGUUCAUUCUGCAGCUAUUUCAUGGGAAAGAAGGAAGACCCAGGUAUGUAUGCAGAACCCCCCCACCCCUUUCCUCUUUUUUUCUU